rnacentral:lncRNA from 10 species
CACGCAUCUUUUCUAAGUUAAUAUGGGAUCACCCUCUUCUCUUAUUCCCCUAGGUCAUAAUGGCUGCUGUGCCAAACACUUUGCUCCCAUCUCCUCCCAUAUUAGUCUGUUUUCAUGCUGCUGAUAAAGACAUACCCGAGGCUGGGUAAUUUAUAAAGAAAAAAGGUUUAAUAGACUCAAAAUUCUAUGUGGCUGGGGAGGCCUCACAAUCAUGAUGGAAGGCAAAAGGCACGUCUUACAUGGUGGCAGACAAGAGAGAAUGAAAGCCAAGUGAAAGGGGUUUCCCCUUAUAAAACCAUCAGAUCUCAUGAGACCUAUUCACCACCAUGAGAACAACACCACGUGGGAACUACGGGAGUUACAAUUCAAGAUGAGAUUCCGGUGGGGACACUGCCAAACCAUAUCACCUCCUAGAGUCAUUUACUGAGGACCCAAUGGCUUGUGUCCUGUGACGGAUGGAAGCUGGAGGCUUGCAAAUACCAACCAGGUUGUGUGAAUCAUUUUCAAAGCCUUUGCUCUGUUCCCGCACUAUCAUCUGCAUAUUUUAUGAAAUGGCACGGUUGAGUCUCGGAGGGCUCUUGAUAAAAAUGGAACUGGCAGCCUGCUCAUUAGCUGUUUACCUGGAGCUGUGUGAGCCCCCGAUAAUGGCGAGCUCCCAUUUGGAUUCGAAUUAGGAUUCUCUGACGAAUCACCACCAGCAGCUUUCUCCAGGACGUCCGCUCCUCCUCCGGUGCCUCUCUCUCCCCAUCGCAGAGAGUUUCCAGGAAACUUGCUUUUGGGGGCUGUCCUAGGGAACGUUACACCCUGGCAUCUGAGGCAGUUUAAUUUUUGAAGCGGAGACACAGAAGCUUUAGCAAAUUAGCACCUCUAAGGAUGGCAAAAUUCCCCUGAAAGGACACAUUCUGAAGGUCUGGUUGGUUGACCUUCCAGAGCUUUACAGAUGCCAGAAGUCAAUUCCCUGCUAUAACGAGGUGACCAGUUGUCCCACUUUGCCUGGGACUGCAGAUCCCCAGAGCAUGAAACUUACCAUUUUGAAAUCAGGAAAGUUCCAGGCAGUUGAAGAUGGGUUGGUCACCUUCGCUGUAACUCACUUGAGGGCUUGUAUCAUGUUGUCAGUCUCUGAAGUAGAUGGGAAGAUCUUCAGUGGCUUUUACAAACGGGCUGAGCCACUUCUGUGAUUUACCAAGAGGACUUAGAGAAGAGCACAGGCCAUAGCCCUGUGGUCUUACAAGGUUGGCUUGAAAACCAGAACUGUUUUGAUGGACUUAUAGCUUGCACUUAAAAAUCAGGAAAUUCGUAUGUAAAAAUGCAGGAUUUCUGCCUCUCUUUGAAAACCAAAGACAUGGCUCUGCGAUGUGCCCAUUCUUUUUAGAAAUGAUUGAUCAGUUGGAGCCAAACAGGGACUAUCCCUUUAUAUGGGGCAUCCGCUUUCCGGUUUUAUAACCCUCCCUUUAUUGCCCCCAGCUGGAUCCAUUCAUUCUGUGUACCUAUUUGGUUUCAGUUUGCAUCUGAUUUUGUGCUUCUGGAUAGAAGUUGAGAGCACUGGCUUUGCAGUAAGAUUCAAGUCUCAGUUCUAUUAUCUUUUAGCUGCCUGACCUUGGCCAAGAUAAACAAACACACUUGGUCUCAGUUCUCUCACCUGUAACUUGAGAAUAAUAAAAGUAUACUAGUAUAGCAAUAUCUUAUUAUAAAUAUUACAUUAAGUAAGAUAUGUACAUUGAAGAAAUGCAUAUAAAUGGCUUAGAAUGGGCCUGGAUAGUAAGUAUUCAUUAAAAGUGCUUGGUUUUUUUCUUCUUAUUAUUUUAUUAUUAUUACCUUUACAGAAAAAUGAACUGAAACCCAGAAUUCCCUGGUGAGCUACUUAAUAUAUAAAUAGACACUAUGUGAACACAAAGAAUAAAAGAAUAUUACUGGCAUUAAAAUAUUUUGUAUUUUAUAAUGUAUCUUGGAACCAAAUAUUGAGGUAUACUCAAAGCAAUUCCAGGUGACCACCUGUGUAAUUAAUGAGGCAAUUGACAAAGCUACAGGAAACAAAACAUUCCGUUUUUUAUGUACAGAUAAUCUUGUCUUCCUUUUUGCAUUAGUAAAUCCUCCAACACCUUUUUGAAUUCCAUAAACCUAUACUUUUUAUACAGAGUGAAUUCCUUUGUAGUAGAAUCUGUUUCCUUAAGAUUUCCUCCUGCUGAAAUGAUUUUAUCCUAUAGCAGCCUUGUGUUACUGGGGAUUUUAUGGCCAGGCAAAAGUGAUAUACUAUUAAUACCUUGGAUUUACACAGCAAUUGUUCUUUUGAAUAGUGCAGAGGUACUAGACGAUUCUCAAAUAUAUGGUAUUUGAUAUUAAUGAGGAAGAUGUUAUACCACAGGAAACAAUUGUUUAUUUUUUUAAUGUUUCCCCCUUCUCUUUUAAAACAGACUCCUGUAACACUACAUGCUCAGAGUUUUUCUAAGGAGAUAUUUGGGAAGCGCUAUUGUUGCGUGAAAAGUAUUUUUGAUUCUGGGUCAUUGAAACCUGGAUUUGAAUCCCUGGUCCCUGAUGCUCUCUGGGCCUGGCACCCACAGAAUGCUUAUUUUUGAAGAGAGUUGAAUAAAGGGACUCUCUACAAAGCUGUGGACAGGAUCUAGGGAAUAUGCCAGGAAUAAUGGAGCACCUGAGGGGUGGUAACAGAGGGGCUCUUUCACUACCUUUACAACUGAAGGGGCAAGGGGAAGGAGAGAUGACCGGACUUAGGAGACAAAGGGCUGUGUGGAGAGGGCUGCCCUGUCACAAGAGGGUCCCAGUUGGCUUGUUAUGACCCCUUGGGGUGGGAUCAAGGGGGAAAAACAUGCUGAGAUCACACAGUCCUUCUUCCUUCUAAUUUCCUGGCAGAAUUCCCCGUUGGUCAAACCCAACCAGAAGCUUCAGAAAAAGGAACAUAAUCUUUGUGGGAGUUUGUACUGCUUACCCUCUCAGGACACAGAGAGCAUGCAGACAGUACAGGAGGAAAUGGAACAAACCCAAAGUCACCAGAUGUCUCUGAACAAGUUGUUCAACUUCUCUGAGACUCUCUCAGACUGAGUUUACUUCUUAGUAAAUAAAGCUACAUAAUACCUACCUCAGAGUGUUGUGAGAGAAUGAAAUGAGAUAAUACAUACAUUAUCUGGCACAGUCCCUUGGCACAUAGUAGGUCUUUCUGAGAAGCAUGAAACAGGUUAGUGCUUUGCCCAGGCCAUUUCAUCUUCAAGGCAACAUGAGUUGAGAAAGGCUUGGGUGCUAGAAGCUUUGUGAAAAUGUUUGAGCUCUGAAAAUUCAAGUCAUGAUUUCAAAAUAUAAAAUUAGUCUCAACAAUAGUCAAAUCUCUAAUUGAUUUUAUAUGAAGUAUAAUCAUAUGUCAACGAAUCUAACUUUAACCUACUCUUACUUAGUUCUAUAUAAUUAAAAAGUGGGAUGUGUUUGCUGUUAUGCUGGCACUUAUAAAGUUUUCAGUUCAUCUGUUUCACAUACUGGUUUUCCCUUGGAAGGUUAUGUUUAAAAAGCUCUCUGUAAAUUGUCAUCUCAAUGUUGUUGAGUGAAUAAAAUAGCCUAGCUCUAGCUAGAAGGAAUGUGAAAGAAAAUAUAGACUCAGCAAGAAAAUUUUUUAAAACUUGUGGUCUAUAGGUCAUACUCAGUCUUACGAUCCUUUCAUGUGUAAAUUUAAAUUUUGUAAAGAAUUUUUAAUUUAAAAAUUAGAAAUCAAAAUAUUUUAAAAAGAAAUCAACUUACUAUACUUCAUUGAUUGCAUAAAAAUACUUUUUCUGUCUAUAUUUUAACUUCUCAGAAAUAAAGAUGCAUCUUAAGCAAUGAUAUCUUAGACUUGAUGAGAUACAGUGGUGACUAGCAUUAAAACAUCAUGAGAUUUCAUGUAGAAACUGAUAUUUCCAGUUUCAAAAAGCUGGAUGGUCUCUCAGCCUUGGACCUGGCACUCAUACAGCCCCUGUGGUGGAAGGGCCUAGCUCUGAGCUCUUGAAAGAGGAUGAUGGCUCUCAGAGACACCUCAUCCUUACCCAUGUCUUCUCUGCUUUUUGGAAUUUGAGGAACCUCAUCUACCAGCCUCCAACUUGGGCUCUGGACCUGUAAGAAGCCCUUAUAGGAAGGAAUAGAGAUGCAUGGGCUGAUUUUAACAUUACAGUCCACUAAUGGGCGUUUUACCCAGGGUAAAUCAACAAAUCAAGUGUUGGUUCGCUUGAGUGUAAUAAUAGUGGUUCUCUCCUAAUCAGAAAGUUCUGAUUAGCAGUUGAUGAGCAAAUAGAAAUAGCAAUAAAAUAAGAGGUGAGGGGCAUGAGGUCCAUCAUGUAGUAAAUGGAGUGUGACAGAUAGGCAUGGAUCUCUUGGGAGGAGAGACAAAGGGGAAGGGAAAGGGAGUCCUUGGCAGUGGAAACAGAGGGAAAUGUCACUCCAGGGACAUUUAGUGACCUGUCCAGAAAAGCAAAUGGCUAACUAGGAAGUAGCAGUUCUCUAGACAUUCAGUCCAGUAUUCUUUGCUUUCAAACUUCAUUCUUUGCAGUCAAACUUAUUGAAAAAAUAUGUUCAAACUCUAUAGACAAACACUCUCUAACAAAAUGACUUUCGGAGAAGAGAUUUUCUCUCUUUCAUCUGGGUAUACACCAGCAAAAGACCUGAAUAAAAUCAACCCUGCUACAUUCUUCGUGUAGAAUAUUCCUAAAAUAUGUUUGAAGAUAUUAGGGGUUUUCCUCCCAGCAUUAUUAUUUCUCAUGGAAAAUCCUUUCUAUAUCCUAUUUUAGAUUAUGUGCUAUAAUAUACUUGGUAGAUUAUAGAUAACAUCUCUUUUUUUCUGAGAUUGCACAUUUGAAAAUUUGAGAUUACAAUAAACUCUGUGUGCGACAGUGACCAGAGACAUGGAGAUAAUGUAUGUGAAUAUUCUUUAAGCUCUUUGACUGAAAGACAUGUUACAAAUAUGAGCAAUUAUUCGAUACUAUAUUUGAAAAAAUAUAGAUCAUCCAAUCUUGCAAAUAAAAGAUAAUUCCACAGAUGAUGUUCUCUAUGUCACUUUUCUAAUCUUAAAUACUUGAAGUGAAGAAGCUUCCAGGCCUCCGCUUGUAUGACUGUUUCACAAUCUAAUUGAUCUCACUGUCUGAAUUGUCCUUUCUUAAUUUCUCUGCAUUACUCAUUUACUGUGCUCACUGUUCAGAUAUCUGCGAGAGGUAGCAGGCCUCCCCCCAACCUUAGUCAAUUAGACAAGCUAUUGUUUCUGAUUAAGAUAUCACAUCCCGGAGAAUAAUAGCAAUUAGAGUU